UGAUUUUGAUUUCAGGAACCCGCCUGAAAAACAGGGUGAUAAAAUGGAAAGUCAGAAGCCCACCUAAAGAAUAGGGUGAUGAAAUUAAAAGUCAGGAGCCCGCUUGAAGAACAGGGUGAUGAAACUGAAAAGUGAUGAAAUAGCAAGUCAGGAUCCCGCCUGAAGAACAGGGUGAUGAAAUUAAAAGUUGAUGAAAUUAAAAGUCAGGAGCCCGCCUGAAGAACAGGGUGAUGACAAUGAAAAGUGAUGAAAUAGCAAUUCAGGGGCCCGCUUGAAGAACAAGGUGAUGAAUUGAAAGUCAAGCAACAAGGUGAGUAAAUGGAUAGCCAACCAACAAGGUGAAAAAUUGCAAGUCAGGAGCCCGCCUGAAAAAUAGGGUAAAAAAUUUCAAAUCCAGGGUCAAUCUCAGAGAUACCACCCGCAGAACAUGGCCAACUUUGAGUUCAUCUCCAACACCAAAUUUUGUAUGGAGAAAUAAUCUAUCUUCAAGUUCAAUCAAAAAAAUAUUAGAUCUUUGUCACUUUUGAAAGCAUCAGAGACCCAAGACAAGAAUCAAG
rnacentral:lncRNA from 1 species